rnacentral:lncRNA from 1 species
AGUGGGGGCUGCGCGGUGUCCAAGGAGCCAGUCGGCGACCGGUGAGGGGACCAAGGGGCUGGGGGGGCAGGGUUGGCGCGGGGCGGCGACCCCCAACUGUCGUCGUGUCCCCUCGCUACGGGCGGCUGGCGUCUGCCGCUGUCGGGAGCGCGGCCCCGGCAACGAGUGACGGCGGGUGUGCGGCACGCGCCAUUGGUCUGCUGCGCCCGCGGCCGCCCGGCCUUGCCCGCCUCUCCCGGUGACCUUCGGGGCCGGCGGCCGGGCGACGCGGACCUGGCCAGGCCGAGGCGGAUCCGGAGGGCAGUGUCAGCACCAGGCUCCGUCGGCGCCCCCGCUCCUCGCUACGUUUUUGCUGCCCUGUCCAGCCCCCAGGGUAGGCCGGCGCCUGGGGCGAGGAGCUGCGGGAGGACCCCGGGCUGCAAGUUUCGCCCAAGGAGAACCCGCCUAGCAACUCGUGACGAAAGUAGACCGAGGCGCCCGGGAUUGGCUGCGCCGCGACCUACCCAGGUGCGGCGUUCCUCCUUCGACAGCGCUGGGGCGAUAGCGCACAAGCAGGGGAGGAGCAGCCUUCCCGCUGAACAGGGAGCCGGAUGCGGGGCUCCAUCCCAGGACCCUGGGAUCAUGACCUGAGCAGAAAGCAGAGGCUUAACGACUGAGCCGCCCAGGCGCUCCUAAACCUUAUUUUCAUAUGAAACGUUAGGAUAGCUUCCUUUCCUGAGUUUUCCCAGGCACCUGAAGUCCCCUGUCCAAGGUCACACAGCUAGUAAGGAGGAACUGCCUCUGUGGUUCUUUCAUGGAUGUUGGCAGUUCCAUUUCAGUAAACCAAAGCAGACUACUUGCGGUAUGUGCAGUAUCAGAUAGGGCUAGGGAGGAUACGAUGACUGGAGAGAGGCCUCCUCCUCCUGUAACCUAACUUUUGAAAGAAUUAUUUCCAAAUUAACGUAUUUUUUAAAAGCACUGAGUGCCAUCCAUGUGCCCAACUUCUUGCUAGGCCCAGAAAAGGUGUAAAACACCUUCCCGCAUCCCAGUUCUGCGAUGCUUUGCCCUCUGUGGGUUGCAGUUUUGGGCAAGUGUCAAAGGAACCUAGGGAAUAGACUAUCCUACUAUAUAUGUUCUAUCCCUGCCGAAGAUCCCUAUCUUCUUCACACUUUCCAGUGCACAGGAAAAGCUCUGUGAAGGCAAAACUUCCAAAAGAGUGUAUCUGGAUCAUGAUCAGGCUUGGGCACUUGGGAUGGGAAGCAGCACUUCCGAAAACUUGUUGGACUGAAUCUGAAGCUGAAAGGGGCAACUUCUUUUGAAGUACUGGACCUUGUUUCUGUUAUGGAAGAAGAGAAAGCAAGGAGUAGCCAUUCUGGUGCUCUAGAUUCCAUCCUCCCUACCUAGGAAAGGGGCUGAAACCUUCCUAGGAUGUAUGAGAAUCACUUUCUUGUUACUUUCAUUGAUUAUUCAGAAUAAAGGCAAAGUAAGGGGAUGGGGCUGUGGGUUAUGGAGUUGCUCAGCAGAGCUUCUGUGAGGAGGGGUGACUGUAGCAGAGCCCUGGAUAAAGAGAGAAAGGGGCUUUACAAGUGGAACUAGAAGUGGAACAGUCCCAAAGUAGGCAGUUAAUUUUACUAAUACAUUUCAUUUAACCCAAUAUAUCCAAAAUAUUAUCAUUUCAACAUACAACAUUAAACAAUAUUCACGAGGUAGUUUGCAUUCUUUUUUCAUACUAAAUCUUUGGAAUCAGGAGUGUAUGUAAUCCUUACAGCACAUCUCAAUUUGGACCAGCCACAUUUCAAGCGCUCAGUCACAUAUGGCUCAUGGCUUCUGUAGUGGACAGUACAGCUGGGACAGCCCUCAGCCCCACUCCUGUACCAGUUUUACCCAGCUCUGGCUUCAAGAAGGAGGAUCGCUUGUCUCUUCAUCCUGCCCCAGAAAUAUUGGCCCAGCAGAACAGAUAACCAGAGAAGAAAAUCUUUGUAUUAACCGAAGGAUACAACUCAGAAGGAAAAGAACUAAGAUGUUCUCAUAGUAGAUUGUUAGAUAAUGUACUAAAUCCGGAUGAAUUAUAACACAUCUCUAAUCUGUAAUAUGUUAGAUAUGGCACGAAAUACCUGCAACAUCUAUUAAGAAAUAACCAAAAAAAUAAAGUGAUAUAUAAAAU